AAUGAACGCUGGCGGCAUGCCUAACACAUGCAAGUCGAACGAAGGCUUCGGCCUUAGUGGCGCACGGGUGCGUAACGCGUGGGAAUCUGCCCCUUGGUUCGGAAUAACAGUUGGAAACGACUGCUAAUACCGGAUGACGACGUAAGUCCAAAGAUUUAUCGCCGAGGGAUGAGCCCGCGUAAGAUUAGCUAGUUGGUGUGGUAAAGGCGCACCAAGGCGACGAUCUUUAGCUGGUCUGAGAGGAUGAUCAGCCACACUGGGACUGAGACACGGCCCAGACUCCUACGGGAGGCAGCAGUGGGGAAUAUUGGACAAUGGGCGAAAGCCUGAUCCAGCAAUGCCGCGUGAGUGAUGAAGGCCUUAGGGUUGUAAAGCUCUUUUA
rnacentral:rRNA from 1 species